GCCAGGUAUGGUGGCACACACCUGUAAUCCUAGUGACUUGGGAGGCUGAGGCAGGAGGAAUGAAAGUUCAAAGCCUGCCUCAG
rnacentral:sRNA from 1 species